rnacentral:lncRNA from 1 species
UUCUUAUAAGAUAAACACCAAAAACAGACAUUUUGACUGCUGACAGAUCUUCAGAGGGAAGACAAUGAAAGUGUAUGGAGGGAAGAUACAGAAGCUGGACUGAAUGUGAAGGAAGCUGAGAACCCUGCAUGAGGCUCCCACAGACAGGGACUUGUUUCUGGCCCCCAACAACUCCAGGGAAAAAGAUAAGUUGAACUGGAAAGGAGCAACUGCUUUCCUCAUGGGCCUGUGGAAUCCCAGCAGAAAGACAUCCCUCAACCACUAUGGACACUUGAAUUGGCAGUAAGAGCUGCUUAAAGAAGUGGUUUUGUGGUACAUGUGCAGAUCAUGCAGGACUGUUGCAUAGGUACACACAUGGAAAUGUGGUUUGCUGCCUCCAUCCCCCUGUCAUCUACAUCUGGCAUUUUUCCCCAUGUUGUCCCUUCCUGACCUCCCCACCCUGCCACACUGUCCCUCUCUUGCCCCCCCAACAGACCCCAGUGCUUGAUGCUCCCCUCCCUUUGUCCCUAUGUUCUCAUUAACCUGCUAAACGUCUCUUGAAAUACCAGAAAAUUAGAGUAUCUUCAGUGCUAUCUAAAUUGAAUAUUAUUAAAAAAAAUAAUUGCUUAAUUGUGCUUUAUUGGUGAACAAAAGAUAAUGUGCCUAAAAAUAAUUUAAAUGUAAACAUUACUGAGAGGGUUUUUAGACAUGUCUGAAAGCUGUCUAAAGGUCUGACAGCUUUCAGACUUUUGAAAUCAUCUGCAUCCAGGUCCUUUGGAAGGAUAGAUGUUGAGUAGAACAUUUUUUAUUUGCUGUCUGAAACUUACAUUAUAUAAUUUUUCUAGUGUCUACAUAAAUAAUAGGAAGAUAAGUGAAACAAAAUGAUACAGUGUGGUAUUAUUCUACUUUAUAUGUGUGCAUAUACUAAAUCACUAAACAAAUAUGCUAUAUAUACUAAAUACUAAGUAUAUUCUUUGCAUAUCUAUUUUAUAUAUGUGAAAACCUGUGGCUUAUAUUUUUGUAUCCUUUCCUUUGAUCAGCAAAGGAGAGAUACAGGAGCACAAUUUACCCUAAAUUCUAUAAUUUAGGAGAAACUGAGAGACUAUGUUAACUUCUCUUCCUGGGUCCACAAGGGGUGUGGUUUCAAAGGCAAGAACUUCCCUGCACCAUAUCCCACCCUCCUCCCCAUCAGGGAACAUAAAGUUCUUUGUCUAACGUUCCCUGCUUGUGGCUAGGUAAAAUUCCAGGUGAGCUUCCUUUGUUCAGAAAGCUGCCAAAAGCCCUUAAAGGAGAGACUCUGUUGUGGGCCAAGCAAUCAGUUUGGAAUCAAAGUCAAAGAUCAAUCACUCCAGAGGAAGUUUGAAAGAACUCCUCUCAUUGGACAAAAA